AUUUAAUGAUACGGGCAACAUGCACACAAUCUCUUGAAUCUCUCCCAAUACUCAUGCAAUAACUCUCCAUUAUACUGCCUAAUGCCACAGAUUUCUUUCCUUAUGUU